AAAAUCAAUGUCAUUGGAUCAAGUUGGUUAGUCUCUCUUACUUGAGUAUUUUUGUCAUUGCCUGUCAUGUUCCUUGUUGUUACCAUGUAGACACUCUAAAAGGUUUCUUCCCAGACUCACAGUGAACGUCAAAUGUUCUUACAAGGUCGAGAUCCUAUCAUAGUGACUCCUUAUGUCUCUGUCUUCCAGUCUUCUUGACCUUCAGGUAGGAUGAUCUCAUCCGGUUGAUUCUUCCUCUCUCCAAGCCGAAGGGGAGGGGAUACCUGCGAAGACACUCCGACGAUCAAGUCAGUCCGAGUACAAUAUGCAGGUGAGUUGAGAGUGAAAAAUUACCUUUGGUGCUAGGGUCCCCUCUAAUAUUUAUACUUUUUUAUGGUCCUCAACUAUUGUAGGCUUGCACGGGAUCCAAAAGAGGAUCCAACUAUGCCUUAAUCAUGGUUUACCAUUAAACAUGACUUAAUUACAAUUAAUUGUAGGUUUAUGCGUUGUGUUGGGGUUAGGGGAAUCAAUCGACCUUCUUAGCUAUUCGGUCAUGUCGAUCUUCUUGGUAAUCUGGUAGUACAAUGUCUUUUUUUACUGUAUUUAUUAUUAUUUUGUGCUUUUUAUUAGAUCUACUGUUACGCUUAAAGUUAUAUUUUUUUGAAAUAAUAAUUUUAUUUUUAUAAAAAAAAAUUACUAUUUAGUUUUUAAUUUUCUUAAAUUAAAUAAAUUUUAUGUAUUCAAUUUUUAACAAAAAACAAUAUUCACAUAUUUUGUUAAUGAUCUCGUACAAAAGAGAUUGAGAGAACUUCUUCAACCUGCUAAACUCUUUUCAGUGGGUUAGUUCACAAUCCUCCUUGCACUUCUUAAUUUCGUUUUGGUUUAAUUUCUACUCUUGCUCCUCUACUCCGGUCAAAUUCUCUUUUCUUCCUAGGCUCUCGAUCGAGAGGACACUUGUAAAAAUUGUCAUUAAUGUGCGAUAAUGAUGUAACUUUUUGUUAAAAGUUGUGACUAUUUAUAUGCUCAUUAUAGACUAAUUAUUAUUGGGCGGAAUUAACAUUUGAAUCGUUAUUAAAAACA
rnacentral:lncRNA from 1 species